rnacentral:rRNA from 1 species
AGGGUUCGAUCAUGGCUCAGAACGUACGCUGGCGGCACGCCUAACACAUGCAAGUCGAACGAAGUAGCAAUACUUAGCGGCAGACGGGUGAGUAACAUGUAGGUAUCUGCCCUUUGGCCUGGAAUAACACGAGGAAACUUGUGCUAAUACCGGAUAAGUCUUUACGGAGAAAGCUUUAUGCACCAUCGGAUGAGCCUGCACUUGAUUAGUUUGUUGGUAGGGUAAUGGCCUACCAAGACUGUGAUCAAUAGCUGAUUUGAGAGGAUGAUCAGCCACAUUGGGACUGAGACACGGCCCAAACUCCUACGGGAGGCAGCAGUGGGGAAUCUUGCACAAUGGAGGAAACUCUGAUGCAGCGAUGCCGCGUGAGUGAAGAAGGCCCUUGGGUUGUAAAGCUCUUUCGUCGGGGAAGAAAAUGACUGUACCCGAAUAAGAAGGUCCGGCUAACCUCGUGCCAGCAGCCGCGGUAAUACGAAGGGACCUAGCGUAGUUCGGAAUUACUGGGCUUAAAGAGUUCGUAGGUGGUUGAAAAAGUUAGUGGUGAAAUCCCAGAGCUUAACUCUGGAACUGCCAUUAAAACUUUUCAGCUAGAGUAUGAUAGAGGAAAGCAGAAUUUCUAGUGUAGAGGUGAAAUUCGUAGAUAUUAGAAAGAAUACCAAUUGCGAAGGCAGCUUUCUGGAUCAUUACUGACACUGAGGAACGAAAGCAUGGGUAGCGAAGAGGAUUAGAUACCCUCGUAGUCCAUGCCGUAAACGAUGUGUGUUAGACGUUGGAAAUUUAUUUUCAGUGUCGCAGGGAAACCGAUAAACACACCGCCUGGGGAGUACGACCGCAAGGUUAAAACUCAAAUGAAUUGACGGGGACCCGCACAAGUAGUGGAGCAUGUGGUUUAAUUCGAAGAUACGCGCAGAACCUUACCAACACUUGACAUGUUCGUCGCGACUCUAAGAGAUUAGAGUUUUCGGUUCGGCCGGACGAAACACAGGUGCUGCAUGGCUGUCGUCAGCUCGUGUCGUGAGAUGUUGGGUUAAGUCCCGCAACGAGCGCAACCCUCACUUUUAGUUGCCAUCAUUAAGUUGGGCACUCUGAAAGAACUGCCAGUGAUAAGCUGGAGGAAGGUGGGGAUGACGACAAGUCCUCAUGGCCCUUACGUGUAGGGCUACACACGUGCUACAAUGGUAUCUACAACAGGAAGCAAAACUGCGAAGUUAAGCAAAUCCCUAAAAGAUACCUCAGUUCGGAUUGCACUCUGCAACUCGAGUGCAUGAAGCUGGAAUUACUAGUAAUCGUGGAUCAGCGUGCCACGGUGAAUGCGUUCCCGGGUCUUGUACACACCGCCCGUCACACCAUGGGAGUUGGUUCUACCUUAAGGCAAGGUUUCAAACCCUUGACCACGGUAUAGUCAGCGACUGGGGUGAAGUCGUAACAAGGUAGCCA